UCCCUGCGCGGGGGCUGCGCGGGAAGGGCGGCGGCACCGGCGGCACCGCUGCGUGCGGAGCCGCUAUGGAGCCAUCCCGGCCCGCCGGGAGGCUGCGCGGAAAGUUGCCCUAGAAAGAGGCGGCAUCGUUGGCGGUGUCGAACCGUCCCGAACCCCGGGGUGCCCGCGGUGCUGCUCCAGCCGCUGUGUCCCCUCGGAGUGCCGCUACUUUGUUUGGCUUAACCAUUGCCUUCCCGCGCUGUGUACUCUGCGGCCACCUUGAAGGGUUCAGCCUUUUUCCCCAGAGGAUUUCUAAUUGAGUGUAAAAACACAGGUCAGUUUAAAAUAGCGGCCAGUUCAAAAACUCUCUGCUCAGCUCGUCGUGCCAUGGUUCUGGGGCUUGUUUUAUUGUUGUGCCCAGAAACGAGUGUUGAGAGCAGGUCAGUUUAUGCCUUCAAGGGAUAACCCUUUAAAUGAAAGUUAAAUUAAGCAAAUGGUCGUGCCCCAGAGAGCGCACUCCACGCACAGCAGCAAGUGCACCGGGUGUGAGGCGGUUCUGCCCCGUUGCACGUAUGUAAAAACCGUGGUCGAGCCGUGAGAAACCGCAAAUGGCAAUUCCGUACUACGGCACCGCCGUUUAAAGGGUUUGGAUUGAGGCUGGGCGUUUGCGUGGGAUUUACGGUGCUUUGAUGUGUAAAGCUAAACUAUCAAAGUAGCAGUGUGAGUUCGGAGGGAAGACCCAGCGCAGAGCGAGCUCUUGCAGGCACAGGGCCUUGGCACCUUGCAUGGGGAAAACAAAAAUAACUCUAGGUUUGCGCGAAGUACGAUUUGGGGGGAAGGGUGGGUGACAAAACCCUGCGGUGUCCUUCUUCCCUUCAGAGCUCCUGGGGAUAUUUUCAAGCACGGUGUUAUACGGCGCGCCGGCAUAUUCGUGAAAUGACAGGAAAACGGAACGGAAUAAAAUGAGUUUCACUUUCAGCUUUCCCACGAUUCCUCUUCGGCAGCAAAUGUUACAAGCAAAGAGCAUAUCUGGAGCAACACCCUGGCUGCAAUGGACCACUUAAUAUUCCUGAUAUGAAUAUGCCUGAGCACAGACUCCUAGUUUUCCCGAAAGUUGAUGUACCUUUACAUCCCCCAAACUGCUGCCUGCUAGAAGCAGCUUAGAAAGAAACCCCUCUAACUGCAAAUAGCAAGACUGCAGAGUGAAAAGAAACAAACCCCCUAUGCUCUGACACACGAAUGGAUACAUGACAUUGUCGGUUGCAUAUAUCCAAGCUGUUUUCUUCUGUUGGCUGAAUUCACAAGUACAGUACAUACUAAUUUUCUAAUUAUAAUGUAUACAUGAAUCUUAGCACUAUGUAACCCCUCUGUUGCUUGUUUUUAAUCAUUAAACACAAAGAUAUUAAAUUAGAAUCAAACUCACAGUAUUGUCUGAAAAACCCUCACCACAUUUUUUAGUUUCUGUCCUUUGGGGCAUGUCAGUGGGUUUGCACAAAGCCAAGCUGACUCUGAAAGCUGAGUUGUGGAAGCAUAGGUGGGAGCAGAUGAUCCUGCCUGUGCUGCUCAGCUCACAAGCUCAGGUGAGUAGCCAGGUGACUUCAGAAAGGCUACUCAUCUGCAUCAAAUUAGGGAAGCCAGGAGCUAGGUGAGACACAAGUGCCAGCUCAUGUGGGUUUCAGGCUGCUGCUAGCCCCGAGGAGAGGCCUGCUCAGAGCCCAUGCUCCCAGCAGAUCAGAUAUGCAUUUCACAUUUGUUUCUCCUGCAUGAAUUCACCAUGAACACCUGACAGGCUUAAAUGCAAGAGUGUGUGUGUUACUAUUAUUGCAGCAAAGGAGGCAGCUGAAUUCUUGAGUCACAAAAGAAGAAAUCAAAAUACAGUUUAGGGUGUGCCGGACUCCUGGUUAUUACUUAGAUGUCAUUUAGGGCUUUUGGGGCCUAUCUUGCUGCCAUAAAUUAAAGAAUGACUCAGUUAAUAGCAGCCUAAUGCUGAAUGCUACUGCUCUGACAGGGACCACCCAGCCCACAACUGAGCUCUGGGAAUCUACCCUUAACCUUCAUCACUGUCUCACAGCCCAGUCAUAUCCAGCAUGCCCAACCCAGCCUUGUCUCCCUCCUUUUGUUCAAGUGAGAUUUUUCUUCCAGUGCUCCCACCUGUUUUUAUUCUUGCCAUUCAAUUAAAAUAGGGAAAGUGUAGCUCUUGCUCUUCCAGGGAACUUCUCAGAGUAUAAAAUCCUAUUGCAUCCUUUCAUUACUGCAUUCCUUGUGGGUGAAGUGGCCUCCCUCUCGGCCACCAUGCAUUCAGGAGUGCUAUCAAUAUUUUAUGAAUCACUGGAAGUAUUAACAAUACAGAAGUUUUGCUCAUUAGGCUGCCUCUAGCAUCUCGUCAGCUUCCCCAUGGUGCUUACAUGUGACUCUAACAACACGGAUGGCAGACCUUCCCAUCAGGUUUUUGCUCUGGUAGGAAACCUCACACCCCAAUUACACAGUUUCGAAAAGGAAAAAAUGCAGAAAAAUAAAUGGAGAAAAUGUCAUUGCAACACCCAUGGCUGCUCUAGUCACACAAAUUUCUUGUUAAUGAUUGACCAUUUAGCAGUUUUUAUAUGCUUCUUACCCAGAGGAUGCUGUUCUUGACUGCAGUCAGACUUUUGAUUUAACCCAAACCAAGUGAGGAAAA